UUUCUACUCCCUCCGUCCGAAAAUACUUGUCAUCAAAAUGGAUAAAAAGAGAUGUAUCUAAAACUAAAAUAGGUCUAGAUACAUUUCCUUUUAUCCAUUUUGAUGACAAGUAUUUCCAGACGGAGGGAGUAUUUG
rfam:Triticum aestivum genome assembly, contig: Triticum_aestivum_CS42_TGACv1_scaffold_034675_1BL